AGCCUGCCUCCUGUCCGUCAUUCUGAGCACACCCCUGCCCCUGGGCCUCAUCACACCAACUGCUCCACGUCUGCAGCUUCACCUCUGGGGUUUGAGGAUGCUCUGAUUGUGGGGAACCAGGCCGAUUCUCCUUGCAUCCUUGGUGGAGAAAACCCUGAUGCACCCAUCUUCCUGCUGGGAAAACUGAAAUCUUCUAAGAGCUCCUAACAACAGAGUGGGGGCGGCGGGCGGGCACAGAUCUAAAUGUCCCAGUGACCCCCGUGGGCAGCCUCGGCUCUUGUCCCCUCCCCACCUGGAGACCAGGAGGAGGGAAGACAGUGAAGAACUGGCCUGAGCUUUGGUCUUAGUGCCUUUCUUGCGCCCUGAGCCAGCCCCUCCCUCUGCCCACGAAGGCGCGCCUCUGCCCACGGAAGGAAGGAAGCCCUGCGCGCUGGCACCUCACCCACAGAGCAGCGUCCGCCUCGUGCUAGGGGCGAGGGUGAGUCGGGGGCAGACCGAGGCUCCCCGGAGCCCAGCCUCCCCGCUGCAAAGUGCCCGCGUGUCGCUCAGGAGAGUGGAGCCAAUGCGAGCUUUGGAGGAGGUCUGCUCCGCGCCCCGCACAGAUUGGUGCUGAUGGUGCUUACCAGUUGUGUGUCUGUGCAAGAAAAAACCCGAGACGCUGCUUGCCUGCUCCCCCUCUCUCCUGCUCUCUCCCUCCCUUCGCAAACAUUGGAUUUAAACCUGCUCAGAAUUCAGUGCAGAGGAAGGCGGCAGCGGCAGCGGCAGCAGCCGGCCCAGCCGCGGGAACCCCGCAGCCUCAAGAUGCACCAGCCCGCCUGCUGGAUCGUCUUCUCCGUGACGACCGCCCUGCUCUUCAUCCCAGGUGAUAGAUUGUUCUCCCCGGGAACACUGACGGAAGUCGAGGAUCUUUCUUCUCUGGAAGUGUCUCACCAAACUCAGAGGCACUUGGCACGUGGUGACCACAUAUCCGAGCCCUGCUGCAUGCCAGGGAGAUCCCAGCUUGCAACUUAGACUUCUUUAGGCCUGCUCUGCUGUCAUCAGUGUCAAAAGUUCCUGUCCACCUCUAAACCAGGGGGAAAUAUCCCAUCAAACUUCUAGUGAAAUGUUUGGCAAUGAAUGGAAGUCAAAGCCAUUCUGAAGUUCGGAGUGGUGUGAUGUGUGUUUCUCUGGCUGGCCUGACAUCUCUGGGUCGGGUGUCUAGUCCGUGGGGGCCGGCCAGGAAGCAGAGCCUUACAUCUUGAAAGCGAAGACACUGUUCUCAGGGACAUUACUUCCUGCACGUCCUCAGCAGCUCAGAGAGCAGGGUGAGUAGAAGAGGCUGUCUCUUGUGUCCUUUCUGUGGUUGUUGUUUAGUCACUAAGUCAUGUCUGACUCUCUGUGACCCCGUGGACUGCAGCAUACCAGGCUUCCCUGUCCAUCACCAUCUCCUGGAGCUUGCUCAGACUCAUGUCCAUCGAGUUGGUGAUGCCAUCCAACCAGCUCAUCUCCUGUCAUCCCCUUCUCCUCCUGCCUUCAAUCUUUCCCAGCAUCAGGGUCUUUUCCAACAAGUCAACUCUUCACAUCAGAUGGCCAAAGUACUGGAGUUUCAACUUCAACAUCAGUCCUUCCAAUGAAUAUUCAGGACUGAUUUCCUUUAGGAUUGACUGGUUUGAUCUCCUGCAGUCCAAGGGACUCUCAAGAGUCUUCUCCAACACCACAGUUCAAAAGCAUCAGUUCUUUGGUGCUCAGCCUUCUUUAUGGUCCAGCUCUCACAUCUGUUCGUGACUACUGGAAAAACCACAGCACUGAGCUGGAGCCCACAGCAGAGUCACAGCCACCCUCCCUGUGGUGGAGUCAGGAGAGGGGUGGGAGCGGGGGAGGGGGCUGGGAGAGAGGACAGGGUUUGGCACAUCUGCGCACCUGGGUUGAGACAGAGGCAGCUGAUGAGCAAUUGUGUCAGCCGAGCAGAAGCAGAGGGAGGCUGAUGCUGCCAACACCUCCUGAGGGCCUGCUCGGUAGAAUCCAGAGCUUUCUGUCCAUUGUUUCCUGUCCAUCUUGUUUCCUGUCCGUCUUGUUUCCCUUAGUGCCCCGUCUGAUGCCAACAAAUAGAAG
rnacentral:lncRNA from 1 species